rnacentral:lncRNA from 1 species
UUAAAAGUGUGAAACCCAACAAAAGAGUCUUAUUAAACUGAUAAACCCAUUAAUUAUUAGGCCAGUAUAAAAGUUAAAAUUAAGAUUUACUCGUAAAAGUAACAAAUUUCAAACUAAACUUCAAAUUAGUUACUCAAAAGAUGUGUUUGGCUUUGCUAGCUUUUACUCAAAAUGCUUAUGUUAAAAUUAUUUAAUAAAUACCUCCUCUAAUCUAAAAUUAAUGAAUCUUUGAAUGUGACACACAUCUUCAAAA